AAGAAGGAACCAGAACACAAAAAUCAAAAACACUGAAGGAAACACAAAAAGAACGAACAAAAACCCUUUGUCUUCUCUCACAUUUUCUGAGGAUUUCAGAGCUUGGUAGAGCUUUAGAACUUGUUUCGGAGCUAAGAGUUUGAUUUAAAUUCAAAUCUCUGUUCGAUUCCGCUGAUUUUACUAUUUCCGGAGCUGCUGAGUUUCAAUCGCUUGCUGCGACUACUGAGCUUCCUAACUUCUUUUCUCUGCCUUGUUUGUAAAGAGCUACUAAAGAAGUGGAGAAAUCUGCUGUAGAGCUUAUAAUUUGUUUGAGGAAAAGAAGAGGAAAGAAGGGCAUGUUGCUCUCGGAUUUGACAUUGAAUGAAAGCCCAGCUUUAGAAAGUGGUGGACCUUUUCGCUCUAACAGGAGUCAAGUGGUUAGUGGGUCAAUUUUUUGACCCUUUCUAAACUCUAAAGAAACUUGAAAGCUGUAUUUUGGAAUCUGUUACAUAUUGUUGAUGCUCUACUUGGGAAAACCUCAAAUGCUACAUGAAUCUGGUGCCUCUGUAGAUCUCUAUACUUGACGAAGUAGACAUUGUACCGUCACCUAUGUUUAGGCUGUUAUAUGUGUAUACGAUCAAAAUCAAGAAGUCCGAUGUCGGAACCUUAAAUUGGGCUAUGAGUCUGAGUUCGGGCAACUCGAGGUAGAGGUCAGAUCCGGUUGGAGGACACGCACUUCGAGGAAGCAGAUCGAAGACUGGACUCGACCUAUAAUCGAGGUCAGUACAAUCUCAAGGGCACUUAAGAAAUAGCGGUAAUUUCUCAAGGACACAUGGGUCAGGGAAUAAAUUAAAGGAUAAGAUUUGUACGAAAUAGUAUAGGUCUGUACUAGGCCACUAUACAUAUGUACCAAUAGAAUUCUGUACUACAAUUAGUAAUGUACUAUAUUGCGGUUUUCUCCUCCUAUAUAAAAGGGGACCCCAAUCACUUUUGCAA